rnacentral:lncRNA from 1 species
AGGAAUCUGUAGGUUGAUUAGAACAUAAAAAUAAAACAAAAUCCACACACAGGAAAGUUCAAAUUUUCUGUAAAUGUUCUCCAUAAUGAAGGGGACAAAAGAAAGCAGAUCAUUACAUGUUUUUCAACAAUGGCUAAGUUCACCUUUACCGUUCUCUUGUUCAAGUUGACUCUUUCCAUCGUAGAAAUUGAAACUCAACCCAGACACCACAAAUCCAUCCCUUCUCAGAUCCGGUUCAGGUCUCGAGUUAAUAUCUUCAGUUGAGAUGCUAUACCGGUGAAUCUAGUAAACUUUCAUCCCAUAAGUCAUUAAGUUUGUAGCGUCCUUUAACGACGAAGAUUGCUUUUAACCGCCGUCUGUGCCACCAUCGCCAGCACGACUUGUACAUGAUCUUACGGCAAAGAAAAUCCGAUAGGUACAAAUCCUUUUCAAUCCAUGUAACCUCGAGGGAGAUCUCCAAGCAGGAGGCAUCACCGGGUCGACAUCCGGCGAAAUUUUGUCGGUAAGAGUAUCUAGUGCUUCACUCGUGAUUAUGUUGGAGAUUGAAUUGAUCGGUGCCGAUAAUCAUGAUUAGAUCCUAAAAUCUACACUAAGUAUUUGAUAGUGUUUGAUUACAAAAACUAGCCAAGAAAUAACGUGGGCAACGAUAUCCUCAGAACACAACGAUAUAAUCAGGUUCGAGUCGACGAAAAUGGACUAUAUUCGCAGGUCGAAUAUCAUAGAGAUAUCAGGAUUAAGAAGGAUCGUGACUGAACUCGGGAUCGAGCUGCCUAAGUACUCUCGACGAGGGAUCAAGUCAGAACGUAGUUCGAUUAUCAUCAUCUCGAAAGUGAUGUCAGUUUCAUCGGUUUUGAGUGAGACGUCGGCUUCAUCGGUCUUGAGUAAGACGUCGGCUUCAUCGGUCUUGAGAAAGACGCCGGCUUCGAGUGAGACGUCCGGUCUUGUGGAGAUUGGUUUAUUAUCGUCAUCAAGAUUCGUAUGAACAGCCAUCGUUCUCGAUCAACACGGUAUCGUGUACGAUCGUGAAGGGUAAUGUCUCUGGCUCGAUGUCGUUGUUCGGGACGAGUUAAACACAAAGGAAUAACUCCUCUUCUUCCCCUUUAACACGUCGUUUAAUCCUUAUGCUUAUAUAAGGAUUAUAGUCCUUUUAGGAUUUUGUGCUCUUCUUCCUUUAAAAGUGGAGACGUCAUCUAAGGCUUUAGCUUGAGCUUAGCGAGCUCUUGUUUCUUCUUUUCUAUCAAGUGAUCGUCUUGACUUUAUCAUGGUGAAAACCUUUAUUGGUUUCUUUUAUUUGUGUAUAUAUUUCCUG